AUGCAUCUCCUGGAGGACUGCAGACACCCCUCAGGCACUUUGCUCAGCACAGGCUGCAGAGCUCUAGGAAGGAGGGAUGGGAGGUUGCUGGGGUUCCCUUCCCCUUCCCCUUCCCCUUCCCCUUCCCCUUCCCCUUCCCCUUCCCCUUCCCCUUCCUUCUUUUUUGUCCUUCUUUUUUGUCCUUCUGAGGGCCUGUGCUUAUUAGUUCCGUGCAAAUUACCUAUUUAUUUCUCCUCUUUCCUACUUCAAGAGCUGAUUCUUCUGGAAAUUGAGGUGGAAGAGCCAGACAGAAAGGGCAAACUGCACCAUCAUCCCAGGAUUGCUGGUGUGGCUGUCAGUUGGUGUUACCUGUUUGUCAAAGGAACCACACUGGAGUCAAACAAUAGUCUGGAUGCAAAUAAGAGAAAGGAUACGUGUCCUGGAUUGGUAAACGGAGCCUCUGUGUUUUCUGUGACCUCUUCUUCCUCAGCUGAUUGUGGAUCAUAACGAUUGCUGCCAUUUGGAUGGGAAUAAUUAACGAGAUAAAUGUAGUUCUGUGUGGACGGACGUGCUGUUACCAAGUCCACGAGGGCAUUAUAGGAGCCUGAAGUGAAGACCAAGAAUCCCUUGACACUUGCUGACCCAGGACAGGAUGGAGCAGAGACAAUAUGAUGCAGAGAUAACCAAAUAAGUCAAGCUACUUGAAAGAAGAUUUGAUUCUGUUUAAUAAAAUCACAGACUAUGCUCA
rnacentral:lncRNA from 1 species